rnacentral:ncRNA from 1 species
ACAAAGUUUGAUUCUUUCUUUGAUUUUUAUGAUUUUUCUGAAAAUGCAUGAAAAUCGUUGUGAGUAGUUGAUAGAUAUGUUUAAUACUAUGAAAGGAAAAAGAAGUUAAAGAGUUUUAUAAGCUAUGAGUCUCAGCAUAAAAAAUUAAUUGAAUCUAUGAAUGUAGGACUUAGUAGGAAGUUUAAACCUGAUAAAAUAUUGUGCCAGCAGUCGCGGUUAGACUUAAAGGUUGAGUAAAAACUUAUAAGGUUGUAAUUAAACAAAAGGUUAGAAAGUGGUUAGAAGAAUAAAAGGUGAAAUUGAAUUAUUCUGUUUAAUAAGAUAAAUGUUAGCCUUAAGUUGAAGUUAAAAACUAUUAGAGAUAAACUAGGAUUAGAUACCCUACUAUACUAAUAGGCAUAGAAUGAAAACUAAAUUAUUAAUAGAUAUAUACUUUAAACUUGAAGAAUUUGGCGGUGGUUUAGUCUUGUUAGAGGAACCUGUUUUUGAAUCGAUAAACCACGCAGGAUUUCACUCAUAUUAAUUAGUUUGUAUACCGUCAUUAUCAGAUAAUUUUCAAAGAAAAAAUUAUUAAAGUUUAUCGGGAUUGGUAAGUAAAAUUAGAUCAAGGUGCAGCUUAUAAAUGAGUUAAAAUGGGUUACAAUAAAUUUUAUUUACUAUGGAAUAGUUGUGAGAAAAAGCAUUAAGAAGGUGGAUUUAAUUGUAAUGCGAGUUUAAUAAGCUUGGAAGAUAUUAGCUCUAAACCAUGUACAUAUCGCCCGUCGCUCUCAUUACAUAGAUGAGAUAAGUCGUAACAUAGUAGAUUUACUGGAAAGUUAAUCUAGUUUGAG